rnacentral:lncRNA from 1 species
UGGCAUGCCCAAAAUGCUUCCCCCCGGAUACUUUAUAAUCUGUGGGGAUAGGGCAUGGCAAGGCAUACCUAGUAAUCCAAUUGGAGAACCAUGUUACCUUGGACGAUUAACAUUAUUUGCACCCUCCCUACGCCAGCUGCAUAAUAUUAAUGCUAGGCAUGCUCCUCGCAAUAAGCGUUCUAUUCAUUCCUUUGCUCCCGAUUGUAAGGACACCAUUGAAUUUUUAGACCCUGUGUCUCGUAUAUUUGCAGCAUUUUUGGCUCCUGGUGUGGCUUCUGCUCUUGCUUUAAAUAAUUUGGAAAAGUUGGCAUGUUGGAGUAUUAAACAGUUUAAUUUAACCUCUGAAAUUAUAACUGCUUUAUUGCAAGAUGUAGACAGUAUACGACAUGCUGUUUUGCAAAAUCGUGCUGCUAUUGAUUUUUUGUUGCUGGCACAAGGACAUGGAUGUGACGAAUUUGAAGGCAUGUGCUGUAUGAAUUUGUCCGAUCAUUCUCAUUCUAUUCAUGCCUUGCUUCGACAAUUGCAAGCUAAUGUUAAUAAGUUGAAGCAAGUCGACAACCCCUUAUGGGAUUGGCUCGCAGGUUUUGGUUGGCCCAGCUGGCUUGUUUCAUUGGCUCAUACGAUUAUUAUUAUUUUGCUGGGCAUAUUAUUUUUAAUUCUUUUUAUUCCUUGCAUAAUUCAAUGUAUUCAACACAGCUUGCAGCGCCUUGUAAACUCAGCAUUUAAUAAGAAGGGGGGAGUUGUGGGGAAUUAUCGUGUAUUUUAGACAAAGAUUGUGAAGUUAGUCUGGAAAAAUACUGAGAUUCUUGUAAUGGUCACAUGACUGACUGAACUUUAGUUAACUUUGAGUAGUGAAGUAAACAAGGCCGUGAAUGUUGCCCGUAUGUCUUCUGCUCUGUGCAUUCUAUGCACGUGAUAUUUUUUCUAGUCCAAUCAAAUGGCUAGCAUGUAUGAUGUCAGCACACAUGAUUAAUGCUUAUGUAACCAGACUUAACUAUAUAAAAGAGAGGGAAAAAAUAAAGAGAGUUCUGUUCUGAUCA